AUGUUUCAUGAAUGGUUCUUUUCAAUUUCACAGCUGAAGUAGCAGACAACUCUUAAGCUGAAGAAACACACAUCUCUUAAGGUAAGUGUUAGGGUUGGCACUGACAUAAGGGGUAGGGUAAGGCUUAGGUAGUACUUCCUCCACCCUGGGUAUGAAAGGUUUUCAAGCAUUAGCUUUCCCCCCCU
ensembl:lncRNA